AUGAGGCAGAUGGCAAGAGUGACCGUGCUCUUGAUCUUGGGUACUUUGAGCCUUGCCAAGACCAUCCAGCCCACUUGCAUUGACUCAUAUGAAGGACAAGAAGUGAACAUAUCCUGUCACCACACCAACAUUACUACAGAUGAGUAUAUCUUCUGGUACCGACAGUUCCCCAACCAGGGACCACAAUUUGUCAUUCAAGGAUAUAAGACAAACAUGGUAAAUGAAGUGGCAUCUCUGUUUAUCUCUGCUGAGAGGAAGUCCAGCACCCUGAGCCUGCCCUGGGCUACCCUGAGAGAUACUGCUGUGUAUUACUGCAUCGUGUGUGGCACACAGUGA